CCUACGUGAGGCAGCAGUAGGGAAUAUUGCUCACUGGGGGAAACCCUGAAGCAGCAACGCCGCGUGGAGGAUGAAGGUUUUCGGAUUGUAAACUCCUUUUGUUAGAGAAGAUAAUGACGGUAUCUAACGAAUAAGCACCGGCUAACUCCGUGCCAGCAGCCGCGGUAAUACGGAGGGUGCAAGCGGUACUCGGAAGCACUGGUCGUAACGAGCGCGUAGGCGGGAUAGCACGUCAGAUGUGAAAUCCUAUGGCUUAACCAUAGAAUGGCAUUUUAAAAUGUUAUUCUAGAGUAUGGGAGAGGUAGGUGGAAUUCUUGGUGUAGGGGUAAAAUCCGUAGAGAUCAAGAGGAAUACUCAUUGCGAAGGCGACCUGCUAGAACAUAACUGACGCUGAUGCGCGAAAGCGUGGGGAGCAAACAGGAUUAGAUACCCGGGUAGUC
rnacentral:rRNA from 1 species